AGUGAACGCUGGCGGCAGGCCUAACACAUGCAAGUCGAGCGGCAGCGCGGGGGCAACCCUGGCGGCGAGCGGCGGACGGGUGAGGAAUUCGUCGGAAUCUGCCUUUUUGUGGGGGAUAACGUAGGGAAACUUACGCUAAUGCCGCAUACGUCCUACGGGAGAAAGUGGGGGACCGCAAGGCCUCACGCAGAAAGAUGAGCCGACGACCGAUUAGCUAGUUGGUGGGGUAAAGGCCCACCAAGGCGACGAUCGGUAGCUGGUCUGAGAGGAUGAUCAGCCACACUGGGACUGAGACACGGCCCAGACUCCUACGGGAGGCAGCAGUGGGGAAUAUUGGACAAUGGGCGCAAGCCUGAUCCAGCCAUGCCGCGUGUGUGAAGAAGGCCUUCGGGUUGUAAAGCACUUUUGUCCGGAAAGAAAUCCCUGGAGCUAAUACCUUCGGGGGAUGACGGUACCGGAAGAAUAAGCACCGGCUAACUUCGUA
rnacentral:rRNA from 1 species